rnacentral:piRNA from 1 species
UGCACACGCGUGGGAAAGUAGGCCU